rnacentral:rRNA from 1 species
AAAUGCAAGUCGACGGCAGCACGGAGCUUGCUCUGGUGGCGAGUGGCGAACGGGUGAGUAAUAUAUCGGAACGUACCCUGGAGUGGGGGAUAACGUAGCGAAAGUUACGCUAAUACCGCAUACGAUCUACGGAUGAAAGUGGGGGAUCGCAAGACCUCAUGCUCGUGGAGCGGCCGAUAUCUGAUUAGCUAGUUGGUAGGGUAAAAGCCUACCAAGGCAUCGAUCAGUAGCUGGUCUGAGAGGACGACCAGCCACACUGGAACUGAGACACGGUCCAGACUCCUACGGGAGGCAGCAGUGGGGAAUUUUGGACAAUGGGCGAAAGCCUGAUCCAGCAAUGCCGCGUGAGUGAAGAAGGCCUUCGGGUUGUAAAGCUCUUUUGUCAGGGAAGAAACGGUGAGAGCUAAUAUCUCUUGCUAAUGACGGUACCUGAAGAAUAAGCACCGGCUAACUACGUGCCAGCAGCCGCGGUAAUACGUAGGGUGCAAGCGUUAAUCGGAAUUACUGGGCGUAAAGCGUGCGCAGGCGGUUUUGUAAGUCUGAUGUGAAAUCCCCGGGCUCAACCUGGGAAUUGCAUUGGAGACUGCAAGGCUAGAAUCUGGCAGAGGGGGGUAGAAUUCCACGUGUAGCAGUGAAAUGCGUAGAUAUGUGGAGGAACACCGAUGGCGAAGGCAGCCCCCUGGGUCAAGAUUGACGCUCAUGCACGAAAGCGUGGGGAGCAAACAGGAUUAGAUACCCUGGUAGUCCACGCCCUAAACGAUGUCUACUAGUUGUCGGGGUCUUAAUUGACUUGGUAACGCAGCUAACGCGUGAAGUAGACCGCCUGGGGAGUACGGUCGCAAGAUUAAAACUCAAAGGAAUUGACGGGGACCCGCACAAGCGGUGGAUGAUGUGGAUUAAAUUCGAUGCAACGCGAAAAACCUUACCUACCCUUGACAUGGCUGGAAUCCCCGAGAGAUYGGGGAGUGCUCGAAAGAGAACCAGUACACAGGUGCUGCAUGGCUGUCGUCAGCUUCGUGUCGUGAGAUGUUGGGGUUAAGUCCCGCAACGAGCGCAACCCCUUGGUCAUUAUUGGCUACGAAUGCACUUCUAAUGAGAACUGCCGGGAAAACAAAAACCGG